GACAGAGGUGGCUAGCGUUGUUCGGAUUCAUUGGGUGUAAAGGGUGCGUAGGCGGCCCAGAAAGUCAGAUGUGAAAGCCCACAGCUCAACUGUGGAAAUGCAUCUGAAACUUCUAGGCUAGAGUGCGAGAGAGGUAAAGGGAAUUCCCGGUGUAAGGGUGAAAUCUGCAGAGAUCGGGAGGAACACCAGUAGCGAAGGCGCUUUACUGGCUCGCAACUGACGCUGAGUGCACGAAGGCGUGGGGAGCAAACGGG
rnacentral:rRNA from 1 species